GACGAACGCUGGCGGCGUGCCUAAUACAUGCAAGUCGAACGCUUCUUUCCUCCCGAGUGCUUGCACUCAAUUGGAAAAAGGAGUGGCGGACGGGUGAGUAACACGUGGGUAACCUACCCAUCAGAGGGGGAUAACACUUGGAAACAGGUGCUAAUACCGCAUAACAGUUUAUGCCGCAUGGCAUAAGAGUGAAGGGCGCUUUCGGGUGUCGCUGAUGGAUGGACCCGCGGUGCAUUAGCUAGUUGGUGAGGUAACGGCUCACCAAGGCCACGAUGCAUAGCCGACCUGAGAGGGUGAUCGGCCACACUGGGACUGAGACACGGCCCAGACUCCUACGGGAGGCAGCAGUAGGGAAUCUUCGGCAAUGGACGAAAGUCUGACCGAGCAACGCCGCGUGAGUGAAGAAGGUUUUCGGAUCGUAAAACUCUGUUGUUAGAGAAGAACAAGGACGUUAGUAACUGAACGUCCCCUGACGGUAUCUAACCAGAAAGCCACGGCUAACUACGUG
rnacentral:rRNA from 1 species